CCGUGUGCUGGCUCGGGGGGGCUCAGGCCUGGCCUGCCCCUCCUAAUCCAGCCCCCCAUCCAUUUCAGGCGAUCCCCACAGGCGCCCCAGAGCCGCCAAGUCUCCUUCACCAGGACAGAGACCGACAACGACAGCGUCCCCAGCUACGAGAACGAGGAGCGACCCCGUGGGGACGACGACGACGACAACGACUAUAACAACGAGAUCUACACCCCCGGCUACGUUGAGGUGCUUCCCGACAGUGUCACCGAGACGUCCCCCACGGAGCUGGUCACCUCGGGGCCAGAGCUCAGGGACAGCGCGUCCUCAGUGGGAAUGGGGGAUGAGUACGAGAACAUGCCGGAGGCCCAGAGGGAGUCGCUGGCUGACAGCCUGGAGUACGUCAACAUGCCAGAGCCUGUAUCCGGCCUCCCUGACGCCCACUACGGCGCCAGCGACCGGGAGAGCGAGGACGAUGGGCCCGACUACGAGAACCUGCACCGCUGAGCGCGAGGCAGACCCCCAGCUCUGGAGAGCGACCCCCCCGCCCCCCGCGGGGAACCCGCCUUCGAGGAGCGAACCAACAGCUGGAUGAGCCCCGAGGAACCUUGCCACAGGGGGCCUGAGAAACCCCCCUGCUGGCCCCCCCUGCACCCCACAUCCUGAGAAACCACCUGUGAAAGCCCCACGUGAGGGCUCCUUCUGCCACCU
rnacentral:lncRNA from 1 species